AUUGAACGCUGGCGGCAGGCUUAACACAUGCAAGUCGAGCGGAGCGAGGGUGCUUGCGCCUUAGCUUAGCGGCGGACGGGUGAGUAAUGCUUAGGAAUCUGCCUAUUAGUGGGGGACAACAUUCCGAAAGGGAUGCUAAUACCGCAUACGCCCUACGGGGGAAAGCAGGGGAUCUUCGGACCUUGCGCUAAUAGAUGAGCCUAAGUCGGAUUAGCUAGUUGGUGGGUAAAGGCCUACCAAGGCGACGAUCUGUAGCGGGUCUGAGAGGAUGAUCCGCCACACUGGGACUGAGACACGGCCCAGACUCCUACGGGAGGCAGCAGUGGGGAAUAUUGGACAAUGGGGGGAACCCUGAUCCAGCCAUGCCGCGUGUGUGAAGAAGGCCUUUUGGUUGUAAAGCACUUUAAGCGAGGAGGAGGCGCUCUAGGAUAACACCCUAGAUGCGUGGACGUUACUCGCAGAAUAAGCACCGGCUAACUCUGUGCCAGCAGCCGCGGUAAGAC
rnacentral:rRNA from 1 species